CAGUCGCCGCGGGAAAACGGAGGGGGCUAGCGUUGUUCGGAAUUACUUGGCGUAAAGCGCACGUAGGCGGCUUGGUAAGUUAGAGGUGAAAGCCUGGAGCUCAACUCCAGAAUUGCCUUUAAGACUGCCGAGCUAGUAGGUGAGAGAGGUAAGUGGAAUUCCGAGUGUAGAGGUGAAAUUCGUAGAUAUUCGGAAGAACACCAGUGGCGAAGGCGGCUUACUGGCUCAUUCUAGACGCUGAGGUGCGAAAGCGUGGGGAGCAAACAGGAUUAGAUACCCCCGUAGUCCCUGUCUCUUAUAC
rnacentral:rRNA from 1 species